GCAACCCUGCCCACAGCAGAGGUGUUGAAAUCAGAUGAUCAUUAUGGUCCUUUUCAACCCAGGCCAUUCUAUGAUUCUAUGAUUCACGAACAAAUCCUGGAUUUAACUCUUGAACAUAUACAGCAUUUGAGAAGCUGAAAAAAAAUCUGAAUUUCUGAAGGACCUGUCUCCAGUACCCGAGAAGCCUAAUGCAACUGGACAUAAGAAGAAGAAACAGCCAAGAAGGGCAUUUUCCUCCAUGUUUCUUCUAGUUACUUAAAUGAAAAACAAGCUGAGGGAAAACAGAUUUUGCAGCCCUUUUCAUAAGCACAUAUAAAACUGCAGUGAAGACAACUCAGCAGCAAAGAGUGUGAUGCUGAAAUGGAAGAAUUAUAUCUUCUUAUCUG
ensembl:lncRNA